UGGACAACACAAAAGGGUAUUGU
rnacentral:siRNA from 1 species